rnacentral:lncRNA from 1 species
UUAAUGAGUGCCUUUAUUAAUAUCAUGUCAUGUCCCAUUACUAUAAAGUGUUAACAAAUUAUGGUGUCUUCAUGGAAUUAUUUUGAGGUUGUCAACUAAUCAAAUUUUCCCAUAUUUGAUCAGACAUCUACCAGGAAUAAAAAGAAUGACUUCUUAAAGGGCAAAGAUAUCUGGACAUCUAGCAAAAGAGGGGUAGUGAUGAAAAAGAGGGUGGCCUCUUAUGAAGCAUCUACUUCAGGCACAGUAGAUCCUGAUCACAACAGGCAAAGAAUGCAAAGCUUACCCAGGCAGCAAGAGCUGACGUGAUGAAAGACUACCCUUAAACAAAAAAAAGCCUCUGACAUCCACACAAGAUACUUCUGACCAGACAAACAUUGACACGGUUGACACAAACAUUGACAUGUUUGAAAAGAAAAGUUUACAUUAUAUAUGUUUUCUAACUUUUUAUCUUUAUUUUUUUAUGAUUUUUCUUUGAAGGCAACUCAAAGUUUCCUCUCUGUUUUUAAGGAUGAUGACGAUAAUGUUGGUGUGUCACAUUCAAAAUUCUGUGGUCCACUUGCUGCAUCAACUCACAGAGAGUUGUUUGAUGAAGAUAGUGAAGAAGAAGAAAGCCUUCUAGGUUGUCACCAGCCAGAGAAAGUCAUGGUAGAAAUUGAUAAUGAUGCCAUAAUUACAUCCCUCUGUGGUAAGUGCACAUUAAGAUUUGAGGUUGGAAUAAGUUAUUUUAUAUGUGAGAAGUACUAUGAGAAUUUAAGGCUGUCAUAGAGAGUAAGCAAGUGAUAUCACAUUUGUUGUCCAGUAGAAGUAUCAAUAGCAUAUACUAUGCAUAUAUCCAAGUGUGGAUGGGUGUAAACCAUUAAAAAAUUAACUGUAGCUGCUGUUGCAGGAUAUUUUUUAACACUUAAGAAAGCCCCGAGUUUCACCUCUUUGUGGUGCCAUUCAUGUGCAUUCAUCUCAUAAAAUAUUUCCAAUACAAUUUGAAGGCAGCACUUUUGUAAUCACAAAAACUCUUAAGAACAACUGGCUUUGUUGAAAUCAGUGUAAGGAAACCCAAUUUUGGCUACGUAUUGAUCUCCAAAGACCAUUGAUUCUUUUGUCAUUUCAAUUGGUUGCUGAUCAGUUGUUUCCUUGCAGGUUUGGCCGUUUACAUGAUACCAUUGCUGUUAAAGUUUGUUUUGCUUUCACAUUGCCAGUGGUGUGCCACUUUGCUUUCUGCUCUGCUUGACACUGGCCAGUUGUUGUUUUGUGAUUGCUUCUUACACAGAGGAUCACAUGCUGAUAAUAGGUGGGCUUUUUCAAAUAAUGUAUCUGUACAUUAUGUAACCAAUGUGUUGGUUCGAGAAUCUCUAAUAGAGACCAACCUGUCAGC